rnacentral:rRNA from 7 species
AAAUUGAAGAGUUUGAUCAUGGCUCAGAUUGAACGCUGGCGGCAGGCCUAACACAUGCAAGUCGAACGGUAACAGGAAGCAGCUUGCUGCUUCGCUGACGAGUGGCGGACGGGUGAGUAAUGUCUGGGAAACUGCCUGAUGGAGGGGGAUAACUACUGGAAACGGUGGCUAAUACCGCAUAACGUCGCAAGACCAAAGAGGGGGACCUUCGGGCCUCUUGCCAUCAGAUGUGCCCAGAUGGGAUUAGCUUGUUGGUGAGGUAACGGCUCACCAAGGCGACGAUCCCUAGCUGGUCUGAGAGGAUGACCAGCCACACUGGAACUGAGACACGGUCCAGACUCCUACGGGAGGCAGCAGUGGGGAAUAUUGCACAAUGGGCGCAAGCCUGAUGCAGCCAUGCCGCGUGUAUGAAGAAGGCCUUCGGGUUGUAAAGUACUUUCAGCGGGGAGGAAGGUGUUGUGGUUAAUAACCGCAGCAAUUGACGUUACCCGCAGAAGAAGCACCGGCUAACUCCGUGCCAGCAGCCGCGGUAAUACGGAGGGUGCAAGCGUUAAUCGGAAUUACUGGGCGUAAAGCGCACGCAGGCGGUCUGUCAAGUCGGAUGUGAAAUCCCCGGGCUCAACCUGGGAACUGCAUUCGAAACUGGCAGGCUUGAGUCUUGUAGAGGGGGGUAGAAUUCCAGGUGUAGCGGUGAAAUGCGUAGAGAUCUGGAGGAAUACCGGUGGCGAAGGCGGCCCCCUGGACAAAGACUGACGCUCAGGUGCGAAAGCGUGGGGAGCAAACAGGAUUAGAUACCCUGGUAGUCCACGCCGUAAACGAUGUCUACUUGGAGGUUGUGCCCUUGAGGCGUGGCUUCCGGAGCUAACGCGUUAAGUAGACCGCCUGGGGAGUACGGCCGCAAGGUUAAAACUCAAAUGAAUUGACGGGGGCCCGCACAAGCGGUGGAGCAUGUGGUUUAAUUCGAUGCAACGCGAAGAACCUUACCUGGUCUUGACAUCCACAGAACUUUCCAGAGAUGGAUUGGUGCCUUCGGGAACUGUGAGACAGGUGCUGCAUGGCUGUCGUCAGCUCGUGUUGUGAAAUGUUGGGUUAAGUCCCGCAACGAGCGCAACCCUUAUCCUUUGUUGCCAGCGGUUAGGCCGGGAACUCAAAGGAGACUGCCAGUGAUAAACUGGAGGAAGGUGGGGAUGACGUCAAGUCAUCAUGGCCCUUACGACCAGGGCUACACACGUGCUACAAUGGCGCAUACAAAGAGAAGCGACCUCGCGAGAGCAAGCGGACCUCAUAAAGUGCGUCGUAGUCCGGAUUGGAGUCUGCAACUCGACUCCAUGAAGUCGGAAUCGCUAGUAAUCGUGGAUCAGAAUGCCACGGUGAAUACGUUCCCGGGCCUUGUACACACCGCCCGUCACACCAUGGGAGUGGGUUGCAAAAGAAGUAGGUAGCUUAACCUUCGGGAGGGCGCUUACCACUUUGUGAUUCAUGACUGGGGUGAAGUCGUAACAAGGUAACCGUAGGGGAACCUGCGGUUGGAUCACCUCCUUACCUUAAAGAAGC